UCCGCUGAGGAUGGCUUUUACCCAGUGUAAAAAGCUGGGGGAAUAAGGAGAGGGCAAGUCUGGUGUCAGCCGCCGCGGUAAUACCAGCUCUCCGAGUGGUGUGGAUGUUUAUUGGGCCUAAAGCAUUCGUAGCCGGCUGGGCAAGUCCCCUGUUAAAUCCACCGAUUCAAUCGUUGGAAUGCGGGGGAUACUGUUCGGCUAGGGGACGGGAGAGGCCGACGGUAUUUCCGGGGUAGGGGUGAAAUCCUAUAAUCCCGGGAAGACCACCAGUGGCGAAGGCUGUCGG
rnacentral:rRNA from 1 species